AUUACAAUCUGUGAAGUAAACAUGCAAAUUUGUAGAACUUUUGGGUCAAAAUUAUUAAUAAACUUAUGCAAAUAAAUAGACACAAUUAACAUCAUCAUGAACUAUUAUUUCCACGCCAUGAUUAAAUUGAACCAGAUUUAUAAUAAUUGACUUGCGAUUUAAAAUUAACUGGUCGCCGUUGUGUGUAUAAAGUAAAAUUCUAUUAGUUUCGUGACACUCCCUAGACGUAUUAUAUAAUAUGACCAUUUCUAAAAUUAAAAGGACAAGGCUAUGACCGUUGUACUUGGAAAACAAUCAAAUAAUCGAAAAAAAAUAGCAGAUAAAAUCUAUAAUACGAAUUAUCAUAAAUUCACACAAUAUAACAUACCUAUGUUAGGUAUGUUAGGCAUGUUGAUAUAUAUGAAUACCUAACAUAUUAAUACUCACUGUAAAAAUUCGUUAUAUUUGUACGAUUUCAAAAAUACUUCUGAUGCUGUCUAUUAAAUUAAAAAUAUUUGAUAACAUCAUUUUAUUGUUACCUAAAUCUUGGAAAACCGGUGAAAAAAACAAAGAAAGUAGGUAGGUACUAUACUGUUUUGAUUUUGAAUUUAAACAUAUUACGCAUAUUAUAAGCUCUUACAUCUACAAAAGAGUAAUAGGG